rnacentral:ncRNA from 1 species
UUGGAACGCCUGGGGUGCCGCGCUGUCCGUGCGGCUGAGAUCACACCCAUCGAACCUGUCUGGGUCAUGCCAGCGAAGGGAGGCGCAGAUGCCAGCGA